CCUGUCACUUCUAAAAGUUAGAGCUGACAAUUCCAAAUGUAUAUGUGUCUAGGUUAAUUGUUUUAUAAAAAAUAAUUCUAUAAAAUGAAGUUGUGUUUUGUCUAAUAAUUACAUUCAAUUGAUAAUAUUAUGUUAAAAGACUGUAAGAAAAGAAAUGAGUAUGCUGAAUUGGAACUGAGAGUAGGGUGUCCAGUGAGGGAAGCCCACGAGACGGAUGCCAGAUCAGACUAUCGAGCUCGGCCAACUAUCUCCCUCCAGCCCUUCCAACGGCUCAACCAGACUAACAGAUCAUCAUGCCCCAGAUGAGGAUGGCACAGCCUCGUCGGCGAUUGAUAGAGAAACAGAGGAGUCUGGUUAUACUCAGGCAAAUGCUGAGCAGCGCGUGAUAUUUAUUAAUAGGGCCCAGCCCCCUGUACAUAAGUUUGUUAAUAAUAGAGUAUCAACAGCCAAAUAUAGUAUACUAAGAUUUAUACCCUUGUUUCUCUUCGAACAGUUUCGAAGAUGGGCCAACGUCUUCUUUUUAAUGAUAGCUCUGCUCCAGCAGAUACCGGAUGUUUCUCCGACUGGACGAUACACCACUCUAGUGCCUCUUAUUUUUAUACUUUCUGUGUCUGCUAUCAAGGAGAUCAUAGAAGAUAUAAAACGACACCGUGCUGAUGAUGAAACAAAUCAUAGAAGAGUAGAAGUUCUUAGGGGUGACAGCUGGAUCAAUGUAAGGUGGAAGGAUGUUAUUGUGGGGGACAUAGUGAAAGUACCAAAUAACACCUUUUUUCCAGCUGAUCUGGUUCUUUUAUCAUCAAGUGAACCUCAGGGAAUGAGUUUUAUAGAAACGGCUAAUCUUGAUGGUGAAACAAAUUUAAAAAUUAGACAGGGUCUUCAGAGUACAUCAAAGUUGACGACUAUACACGAUUUGAAGCAGUUGACGGGAACCAUAGAGUGUGAACCGCCAAAUAAACAUUUGUACGAAUUCAAUGGGGUUUUGAAAGAAACCAAUAAGACUCCUGAGUCUCUGGGACCUGAUCAAUUGCUGCUGAGAGGGGCAGUCUUGAGGAACACCUCGUGGAUUUUUGGCAUAGUGAUUUAUACUGGCCACGAAACCAAACUGAUGAGAAAUUCCACUACGGCACCUCUGAAACGUUCCACUGUAGAUAAACUUACUAAUAUACAGAUAUUAUUACUCUUCGGUGUGCUAUUCGUAAUGUGUUUAAUGUGUUCAGUAUUCAACGUCUUAUGGAAUAAUGUGCAUGCAGCCACUGACUGGUAUAUUGGAUUAGAAGAUAGUUCUCAGAAUUUCUUAUACAAUCUAUUAACUUUUGUAAUCCUGUUCAACAAUUUAAUCCCAAUAUCCUUACAAGUCACUUUAGAAGUCGUCAGAUUUAUACAAGCUAUUUUUAUAAAUAUGGAUAGUGAAAUGUACCACGCUGAGACUGAUACUCCAGCGAUGGCGAGAACCUCGAAUUUAAAUGAAGAAUUAGGCCAAGUAAAGUAUAUAUUUUCUGAUAAAACCGGCACUCUUACAAGAAAUGUCAUGGAAUUUAAGAGGUGCGCUAUCGGCCACGAUGUUUACGCAACAGCAGAAAACGUCGAAGAUGCUUUGCUUGUUCAACACUUCAAACAAGGACACAAGAACGCGGAACUCAUAAAAGAACUUCUAGUACUACUAUCCGUGUGCCACACCGUAAUACCGGAGAGAUUAGAAGACGGCAGCAUUAUAUACCACGCUGCCUCUCCGGAUGAAAGGGCUUUGGUGUACGGAGCGAGUAAGUUCGGUUAUGUCUUUGAAAGUCGCACUCCGGACACGGUAGAAAUAAACGCUCUGGGCGUUAAGGAACGCUACGAGAUUCUAACGGUUUUGGAAUUCACUUCCGCCAGGAAGAGGAUGUCUGUCAUCGUUAAAGAUCCGAACGGAAAAAUUAAGUUGUAUUGUAAGGGAGCGGAUAACGUCAUUUAUGAGAGGCUCGACAGUGGAGGCCGGGAACACAGCGAGGUGCUGUUGCAACAUCUGGAGCACUUUGCUACCGAAGGCCUACGGACGCUUUGCUGUGCCGUCGCCGAUUUGAAAAAGAGCGACUACGAGGAGUGGAGGCAGUUGUAUAACAAAGCGAGCAUUUCUUUGCAACACCGUGAAGAGAAAAUCGAGGAGGCGGCGAAUUUAAUAGAAAGAAAUCUGAAGUUGAUCGGCGCCACGGCCAUCGAGGAUAAACUUCAAGAAGGCGUCCCCGACGCAAUUGCCUCCUUACUUCAGGCGGACAUAAACGUUUGGGUCCUGACUGGUGACAAACAAGAGACUGCGAUUAAUAUCGGGUAUUCGUGCAAACUCUUAACCCACGGAAUCCCUCUUAUAGUUCUUAACGAAGACGGGUUAGAUAAAGUUAGAGAGUCGAUACUAAGACACUGCGAUGAAUUAGGCGACAACCUGGAGAAACAGAACGAAAUCGCUUUGGUCAUAGACGGAAAGACGCUGAAAUACGCUCUAACGUUCGAAUUGCGCACCGACUUCCUACGACUCUGCAUCUCCUGUAAAGUCGUCAUUUGCUGUCGGGUGUCUCCGAUGCAGAAAGCCGAGGUCGUCGAAGCCGUCACCAAAUACACAAAAGCCGUGACGCUCGCUAUCGGCGACGGCGCCAACGACGUUGCCAUGAUCCAAAAGGCACACGUUGGUGUGGGAAUAUCGGGAGCGGAAGGGUUACAAGCCGCCUGCGCUUCCGAUUACAGCAUAGCGCAGUUCAGAUUCCUGCUCCGUUUGCUCCUAGUUCACGGGGCGUGGAAUUACUCGAGGAUGUGCAAGCUGAUACUGUACAGCUUCUACAAAAACAUCUGCCUGUACGUCAUAGAGCUGUGGUUCGCCAUUUACUCGGGCUGGUCCGGGCAGAUUCUCUUCGAACGCUGGUCCAUCGGGCUGUACAACGUCUUAUUUACGGCUUUGCCUCCGUUGGCUAUGGGACUGUUCGACAAACCCUGCGGGGCGGAUAAGAUGAUGAUGUAUCCGAAGCUGUACAAGCCUUCCCAGAGCGGCGACCUGUUUAACAUAAAGGUGUUUUGGUUCUGGGUGAUCAACGGCAUGAUCCAUUCCGCCGUGCUGUUUUGGUUGCCCCUGUUGGCGUGCGAGCACGACAUAUUAUGGAUGAGCGGGAAGGACGGGGGGUAUCUGGUUUUCGGCAACUGUGUUUAUACGUAUGUGGUGGUGACUGUGUGUCUAAAAGCUGGCUUGGUCACGAAUUCUUGGACUUGGCUCACGCACUGCGCCAUCUGGGGAUCGAUAAUUCUAUGGUUUUUGUUUAUAAUCAUAUACAGUCUGUUCUGGCCGACCAUACCUUUUGGAAGCGUAAUGUCCGGCAUGUACAUAAUGCUAUUCUCUACCGCCGUCUUCUGGUUGGGACUGAUAGUCGUGCCGAUAAUAACCGCGUUGCCCGACCUUACUGUUAAAGUUGUACAAGGCACUAUAUUUAAGUCUCUCACCGACAUAGUUCGUGAAAGCGAAAUAAAAAAGAGCGAUUCUUCGACCAUCUUCCGAGGGGAGCCCAAAAACUCACCUUUGCAUGCAUUGGAGCAAUUCGCAAUAUACUGUCGGAGACCGCUCGUUUGUUGAAGAACGUGUUCUCUCGAAGAACCACCCCCAGGAUUGAGAUGGAAGUGGAGCUGUCGCAUGGAUUCGCAUUCUCACAAGAAGAAGGAGGCGCCGUUUCGCAAACAGAAGUUAUACGAGCCUACAAUACAAAUAUUCCAAAGCCCGCCGGAAUGUAAAGGAAUAUUGAGGAGCAACACUAGAACUUUCACAAACACUUUCAAAACCGAAUGGCCAAAAUGUUGUUUUCGUUUGUGUGAAGGGUGAAAUGUACAUGUUAUGUUUUUAGCGUUAAUUUUUUAAAUUGGGUUAAAGUAUGACGCAACUGCUACAAUUUUGUUGUUUAUACUUGUUAACUUUAUUUGUAGGAGUAAGAUUAAAAAUAUAUGCACAUAUUUUAUGGUGAUUUAUCAGUAAAGUUUUGCGAGUGGAUGAUGGUGCCAAGGUACUAGGAAAUCAUCGCUAUAUGUAAUUUAUUGGUUUAUGUCAUUCGAACAUCAAAAAAUAUGUCUUUUAUUUGAUAUUUUUAGAGAAAAGUGCAGUCUGUACGAUAUUUGUUGACAUAGAAUUCCAAGAAGAGCCCUGCGUCACUGCCUCUGCUGCGGUAAAUUGUUACAGUAGUUCGGAUAACAGAACUUUAUUGGCCCUCUCAACAAAAACAAACAUUGUACAGACUCUAUAUAUUAAUAUUUUUUAAGGAAAUCUCUGCCUACAUAUCUGCGAAUUUGAGGGUAAUAGUCAAAACAUUUACAAAACAAAGGAUCAGUUUUAGUUUCUACAUACGGAUAUGUAUAUUUCAUUCUAUCACUUCAGGUAACGAGUGUGUCAAAAUACUACAAUCACUGAAUUUAGAUAUACUGCUACUUAGAAGAUAUCACUUAAAUUCAUGUGCCUUUCUGUCUUUCCUUUUAUAGAUCAAAUAUACUGAUACAUUUUUUCACGUACAAUUAACUAUGCAGCUUGAUGUGGUCGGAUGUAAAUUUCAAUUGCAAGGGUCAAGGUUGAAAUUUAGGUAACAUUAAUAGCAUAAAAUUUUGUGAGCGAAAUUUUUAAUACCAGAUUAAAUAUAUCCAUGUGGUAUUGCGUUAAUUUUCUCUUAAAUUUUUUUCAUUUUGAUUUUUGAAUCCUGUUCACAUUUUUUGCUAUGUAAAUAAGUUUGCAGCUUCAUAGAAUGAAAUAUAUAAUAAUAAUAAUUAUUAAAUGCCUUAAGGUGUUUGCUUUAAAUGUUUAAAAAGACGGGUUGGUAAGAAUUGAAACUAUUAUUUUUAUUAAAUUAAAUCACAUGGAACGAUAGCAGCUGACAAUUUGUCUCUUAUAUACCGAUUAAAGAAUUUGUGAAUAUGAAAAAGCAAAUCUGCUGUACGGGGUGUUCCACCAGAAGUGUUCCUCCCUGGUUUUUAUGUAUCGAGUUUUCAGAUGUAAAAACAUGUAAGAAUAAAUGUUGCAUGGCAUAUUUUCUGUCUAAAGGUAAGUUGUUAGUCGCGAAACCUAUUUUAAGGGGGGAAUAUGAAAUUGUCAUUUGGAAUUAUUCGCAUUGGGAAAUCUUAACUCUUAACAUUUCUGAGUUGGUAAAAUUGGAGAUAAAUUACAUUUUGGUUGCUGCACAU